UUAGAUUUUUGAUUCCUGGCUCAGGAUGAACGCUGGCAGGGUGCCUAAAUACAUGCAAUUUGAGCGAACAGAAAAGAAGCUUGCUUCUUUGAUGUUAGCGGCGGACGGGUGAGUAACACGUGGUAACCUACCCAUAUAGAUUGGGAUAACUCCGGGAAACCGGGGCUAAUACCGGAUAAUAUAUUGGACCUCAUGGUUCAAAAUUGAAAGACGGUUUCGGCUGUCACUUAUAGAUGGACCCGCGCCGCAUUAGCUAGUUGGUAAGGUAACGGCUCACCAAGGCGACGAUGCGUAGCCGACCUGAGAGGGUGAUCGGCCACACUGGAACUGAGACACGGUCCAGACUCCUACGGGAGGCAGCAGUAGGGAAUCUUCCGCAAUGGGCGAAAGCCUGACGGAGCAACGCCGCGUGAGUGAAGAAGGUUUUAGGAUCGUAAAACUCUGUUGUUAGGGAAGAACAAAUACGUUAGUAACUGAUCAUGUCUUGACGGUACCUAACUAGAAAGCCACGGCUAACUACGUGCCAGCAGCCGCGGUAAUACGUAGGUGGCAAGCGUUAUCCGGAAUUAUUGGGCGUAAAGCGCGCGCAGGCGGUYYYUUAAGUCUGAUGUGAAAGCCCACGGCUCAACCGUGGAGGGUCAUUGGAAACUGGGGAACUUGAGUGCAGAAGAGGAGAGUGGAAUUCCAUGUGUAGCGGUGAAAUGCGCAGAGAUAUGGAGGAACACCAGUGGCGAAGGCGGCUCUCUGGUCUGUAACUGACGCUGAGGUGCGAAAGCGUGGGGAUCAAACAGGAUUAGAUACCCUGGUAGUCCACGCCGUAAACGAUGAGUGCUAAGUGUUAGGGGGUUUCCGCCCCUUAGUGCUGCAGCUAACGCAUAAGCACCCGCCGGGGGGGGGAGGC
rnacentral:rRNA from 1 species